UACGAAGGGGACUAGCGUUGUUCGGAAUCACUGGGCGUAAAGGGCGCGUAGGCGGCCUGGCAAGUGGAUGGUGAAAUCCCUCGGCUUAACCGAGGAACUGCCAUCCAGACUGCUUGGCUUGAGACCGGGAGAGGUGAGUGGAAUUCCCAGUGUAGCGGUGAAAUGCGUAGAUAUUGGGAGGAACACCAGUGGCGAAGGCGGCUCACUGGACCGGUACUGACGCUGAGGCGCGAAAGCGUGGGGAGCAAACGGG
rnacentral:rRNA from 1 species